rnacentral:rRNA from 1 species
UGCAAGUCGAACGAGACCUUCGGGUCUAGUGGCGCACGGGUGCGUAACGCGUGGGAAUCUGCCCUUGGGUUCGGAACAACAGUUGGAAACGACUGCUAAUACCGGAUGAUGACUUCGGUCCAAAGAUUUAUCGCCCAGGGAUGAGCCCGCGUAGGAUUAGCUUGUUGGUGAGGUAAAAGCUCACCAAGGCGACGAUCCUUAGCUGGUCUGAGAGGAUGAUCAGCCACACUGGGACUGAGACACGGCCCAGACUCCUACGGGAGGCAGCAGUGGGGAAUAUUGGACAAUGGGCGAAAGCCUGAUCCAGCAAUGCCGCGUGAGUGAUGAAGGCCUUAGGGUUGUAAAGCUCUUUUACCCGGGAUGAUAAUGACAGUACCGGGAGAAUAAGCCCCGGCUAACUCCGUGCCAGCAGCCGCGGUAAUACGGAGGGGGCUAGCGUUGUUCGGAAUUACUGGGCGUAAAGCGCACGUAGGCGGCUUUGUAAGUUAGAGGUGAAAGCCCGGAGCUCAACUCCGGAAUUGCCUUUAAGACUGCAUCGCUUGAAUCAUGGAGAGGUGAGUGGAAUUCCGAGUGUAGAGGUG